rnacentral:rRNA from 1 species
GAGAGUAACUGUUCAUCCCCUKGACGGUAUCUAACCAGAAAGCCASGGCUAAYUACGUGCCAGCAGCCGCGGUAAUACGUAGGUGGCAAGCGUUGUCCGGAUUUAUUGGGCGUAAAGCGAGCGCAGGCGGUUUCUUAAGUCUGAUGUGAAAGCCCCCGGCUCAACCGGGGAGGGUCAUUGGAAACUGGGAGACUUGAGUGCAGAAGAGGAGAGUGGAAUUCCAUGUGUAGCGGUGAAAUGCGUAGAUAUAUGGAGGAACACCAGUGGCGAAGGCGGCUCUCUGGUCUGUAACUGACGCUGAGGCUCGAAAGCGUGGGGAGCAAACAGGAUUAGAUACCCUGGUAGUCCACGCCGUAAACGAUGAGUGCUAAGUGUUGGAGGGUUUCCGCCCUUCAGUGCUGCAGCUAACGCAUUAAGCACUCCGCCUGGGGAGUACGACCGCAAGGUUGAAACUCAAAUGAAUUGACGGGG